rnacentral:lncRNA from 1 species
UAAAUCCCACCAGUAGAUUCAACCUCUGAUGCCAAUGUCUCGAUCUCACUUGCACUCUUAAUAAUUCCAAGACUGUCUCUAAGCCACUGAACUGCAGCUCCAGCAAUAGCAAUGGAUCCUUCUAGAGCAUAAUUUGUCUGAGCUUCAGGUCCAAGUUUGAAUGCCACAGUGCUUAGAAGCCCAUGCUUCGACAUAGUUAUCUCUUCACCAGUGUUGAGAAGAAUAAACGCACCAGUUCCGUAAGUGCUUUUGGCCUCACCUUUCCUGCAAGCCUGUCCUAACAUUGCUGCAUGUUGAUCACCUAAACAUCCAGAAAUCGGGAUCCCAGUAAUCGGCCAUCCAGUGGCAAUAUCUCCAAUGACCUCAGAGUUGCUGACAAUCUUGGGGAGAAUUUUAGGGCAAAUUCCCAAGGUUUCCAAUGUGGGUUGAUCCCACUCAAGAGUCUUAAGAUUCAUGAGCAUAGUGCGUGACGCGUUGGAGACAUCUGUGACAUGUACCCCUCCGUUCAGACCACCGGUUAAAUUCCAGAUUAACCAAGUGUCGAUAGUUCCAAACAGAGCAUCCUCUGAUUUAAUAGCCUCCUUAACAGCAUCGACAUUCUCCAUCAACCAUAGCAGCUUCACUGCACUGAAAUAUGUGCUUAUGGGCAAACCACAUACCUCUGAAAAAUGAGUUCUUCCCCCAGAUAAUUCUUUCUCCAAUUUUCUGGCAGCAAAACAACCACAAACAUACAAUCAUAAUUCUCCAUAGGAAAUCACACAGUAUCACCAAAUAAAAGCAGGAAAUUUAAUUCACUUAAUUCAAACAUGGUGAAAAUUGUGCAUCAAGAAAACUAAACUCAACUUCCAUAGAGAAUUCCAUCCAAUCAUAAUCAAUCAAAGUUGAAACCAAUACUAUACCGAGUUAACAUUCAACUAAUUAAACAAAGAAAAGCGUAUUGAACUCUAUCACUAUCCAUUGAAAUCCAUGAUCCAAUUCAGGAACAAUAUCAUAAAUGGUGUCCAGAUCUCUUACCGGCAAACACCACUGGUACGAGCAUCCAUCCAAACAAUAGCAUUGUAAAGAGGAGAGCCAGUGGAUUUACUCCAGAUGAGAGUGGUCUCUCUCUGAUUGGUCAACCCAAUGGCCUUCAAGCCGCUGUCGAUGUUGUGGCCAUCGGCAGUGGCUUUGUCCAGAGCCUUAGCCAUACAUACUCUCACGCUCUCCAAUAUCUCCAUUGGAUCAUGCUCCACCCAUCUGUCUCAUCAUCACACACGACCAAUAUACCAUCAAUCACAGAAGAAACAAAGAAUCCCAACAACAACAACAACAAACAACAAAAACAGAAGAAAAGGAGGGAAGUGGUAUACCCUGCUUCUGGAUAGAUUUGGUUGAACUCGACCUGGUGAGACCCAACGGUGCGGGAAUCACGAUCAUAAAUUAUGAAUCUGGUACUGGUGGUUCCUUGGUCAAUGGACCCAACAUACACUGCCUCCUUAGACAUGCUCUCUUCUUCUGCUUCUGAUCAAAGCUCAAUACUUUGUUCUGGUUUCUUAAGAUAAAUGACACAAGAGUCAAGACUAUGAUGCAACUUCUUCUUGGGAAUGUGACAUAUCCAAUAUUUCAGCAAAAUUCUAGUCAGUUGGAUAAGAUAGAGACAAAGAAAUUAUAUUCGAAGACAAAUUACCAUAAAAACACACAAAAAUAAAUUGGAUAAAGAUAGAAAAGGAACAAUAAAUUAACUAUUUUUAUGAAAGAGUAUUUUGUGGGCGGAAGAUUCAAUACAUGAGGGUCGCCUUCGUUCCAGGUUAGCUGAACUAACUUGAGCGCCCAUGUACUUUCACGUGGCAUCUCUCUACAAUGUUGACUCGGUGUUUCUCGUGCUUUCACGGAUGCCGGAGUUAUGGCGUUUCCAACCAAAAAUCCAAGCUGAUAAUAUAAACAGUCAUAGGAUUAUGAGAGGUGAUAUUUUCUUUUGUUUUAGAAAACGACCUUUUUGUUUUUGUGACCUUUGAUUGUUGAUUUAAUGGAGGCAAUCGCUUAACUAGGGACAGCAUGACUGCAUAAACUGGAAGCUUUAAAAACCUCUACAAUACUGUCAAGCAAAGCCUUCAAUGACUAGAUGUUUAGAUCCGGGCAGGUAUUCAGUAUACAUACGGUGUUUAUCUACAAAGACCAUGCAGAUGGUUAAAGAUUGGAUGAUACUAAUACAGAUACAUGAUUGUCCUCAUAUAUGAAAGUCUUAAGAUUGUUGCCGUGUUGUGUUUUAACACGCUAAAAUUUAAUUCGAGACGUUUGUUUAAAAGCCUUACAAAAGGCAGAUAUAACACAUCUUCGAAACAUUUUACUACUCUCACGUGGUAAUCAACGAUUGACUUAGAUGUUAGUUGAGUACAUAUGGGCCAUAUGCGGUUCAUAAUGUUUUUAGGUCGGUGGGUUGCUUCUCCCGAUCCAAACACAUUUCACCAAAAACCACAUGUCUAAAAUGUAUAAAAACAAAUUGGAACAAAAAAACAAGGGAAAAUAUUAAGAACGGUAUAUCAAGUAUAGGCAACUGAAAAUUAAGGUGAAUUUCUUUCUAAAAUAUCACUCUCAGGUUAAGAAUCCAAAAUAUCACUCGUCAUCUUGCAGGGGUGAGAGAGACGAGUGGUAACUGGUAAGGAUUAAGGAAUGGUAGCUGGUUCUGGGUGGAAUGAAUUGAGAGGUCGAUUCUCAAAUUCAGGACACCUCUGCAAAAUUUGAGGAUUAUCUAUUGACAAAUUCUCAGGCAAAGUUGCCAGAAGAGAGGAAACAACUCAAACAAGGAGUGACUCCACAUUUCUCACAUCGCAAACCAUUAAAACUAAUAAUGAGUUUGCACGUAGCCAUAAAACUACACACCUUUGCACACAACCAAACAGAGGCGUUGGGGGAGGAAUUUGAAACCUACAGGUGCAAUUUUUGUAUUAUUGAAGCAUACAGCCUCAAUAUAUAUGAUGCACUCUCUUUUGCUAAAGAUCAACUCACAUAAUUAGGGGAGUGUAUUGUAUUUGGAUUCAUACAGACUUAUUUUAAUCAACUGAUUUUUUGAAAAGUCUACAGACUCUUUGAAAAGUUCAUAGAUUUUCACUCAUUUCUUAAAACCAUCGAUUUUUAAUCAUAGACUUUCACUGAUUUCUGAAAUCUACAGAUUUCAUCAUAUGAAUGACUUCUGUAGAUUUCUCAAUACUUACAGAGUUACGGGAAAGAAUAAAUAAAUAAAUAUGCAAUGACAAACACAUAAUAACACCGAUUAUAAGUUUAGUGCUCAUCUAUCUAAUUUCGAUGUAUACAGUUGUAAUAUUUGAUUGAAAUACAUAAACAUAGGUAACGAAAAAGAUUAUAUUAACUUAACAACACGCAUACUUGUACGUAAACUAAAGACACAUGUUCUAAAGUGGGACAUUAGAUGUUCACAAGUUUAAUUCAUGUACGCAAAUAUAAUAUAUGAUCAUGUGGUUUUAAUAUCAAGAUGUUCACAAGUUUAAUUCAUGUACGCAAAUAUAAUAAUAUAUGAUCAUGUGGUUCUAAUAUCAAGAGUUAGUAGAUAAUAUUUAGGUUAUCGAGGGUUCCAAGCAUUACAAUUGAAGACAACAAAAUAAAAACAUUGAAAAUAAUAGGUAAAAUAGAAUGUUGAUAGCACAAAAUAUUAUAAAAAAAGAAAAAAGAAAAAAAAAGAUGAUAUAUCGUAGGAUCAACCUAUUCACAUGUAAAGAGAAAGUCUGUUGUAGACUUUUCCAAAUCUUUGCUCUAAUAGAUGGAAAAAUAUUGGAGUUUGGUGUGUGUAAUUUACACUACAAAGUCCACAACUAUCCAUGAGUUAUUAAUUCCAUAAGUAUGAAUGAUAUUUUAAAUACAUCUGAACUUCUAUUGAUUUUUAAAAAUACACCUGAACUUUGGUGGAAUUCAUAAUGAUUUUUUAAAAUCUAGUUGAAUACACCCAGACUUUGAUUGAUUUUUAAUAUGAGGUACGUAGCUAGCAAGUUGUGAACCAUUUAAUUAAAUGAGCUCAGGCACGUUUGUAAAGGAAUAAAAACCUAACACAAUGUACAGAUUUAUUUGAUAAAUAGCUGAUUUAGAAGCACUAGUAGAGUAAUAGAUCAAUAACAGAUUUGUAAGCUCUAGGAGUGGUGUCAUUGCAAAAGCUUAUAUAUAUAUAUCCAAAAUGAAGGAGAUAAUGUACUCCCCCUAGCAAGGUAGAGGAAACCCUAACAGAGCGUCUCUAUGUCAAUUGCUUUGUUACAAAUCAGGUUUAACUAUGAUAGAGAAAAAUUAAUACAGUAAAAUAUCUAUAAAUUAAUAAUGUCAGGACCAGUAAAAUUUAUUAAUUUAGCGAGGUAUUAAUUAAAUGAUAAAUUAAUAAAUUAAUAAAAUUAAUAAUUUAUCGAUGUUAAAUAACUCAAAUAUUACAAUGAGUCUGUUUGUGAGUCGAACUCACGACCUACCACAUAUAAGAGGAGAUUUAUGCCACUAGACUAAAUGUUACUGGUUAUUUAUCGAUUAUUUAAUAACUUAUUAUUUAAUCAAAAUCUUAUUUAUUUUCUUAAAUAUAUUUUUAAAUUUAGCGAAUUAUCAAUUUAUGUAUUCAUUGGGGUCUAUGUAAAUUCGUAUUUGUAUUAUCUUAUAAAUUUAACGAAUUAUUAAUUUAACAGGUUGUCCCCGACUCAAGACAGGCAAAAAUUAUUAUUUUAAUGAGGUUAUUAAUUAGUCGAGUAUUAUUUUAAUGAGGUUUUAUUGUAGUAAUUUGAUCACCAAUUUGAUUCUCAUUUGGCGGUUUCUUUUGUAGUUUGGAUUGGGGACACAAAGAGUUGAAUUCCCAUGCUAACAACAGUUACAUAUUUGCAAUUACUUUGUUAUUAUUCACAAGGAUGUAAGCUAGAAAACUACAUUGCAAAACCAAAUUAAUAAGAGAGGAAGCUACAUAGAAAAUACUCAGUAUUUUGUAAUAAGAACAUAGAAGUGGGGAGAGUACUGCAUCAAAGUCAAAGAUCUGCCAAAUCAAACGUUCUUGAAACGGCUUUGCACCAUGACUCCAACUUCUUCUUCCUCAACUCCUCACCUAUUUUCUGGUGGAAGUUCUCAUCCUGUCUUCAGAAGCAAAGAUCUCUUUUUCAGUCCAAACACCGACUGCCAACCCAGCAGCAUAAGCUGCUCCGAGAGCUGUUGUCUCGGUGUCAGCUGGCCUUACAACUGGGGUGCCCGUCAGGUCUGCCUAAACGCCAACAACAACAUGGAAAAUAAUAUCAAAUCAUUAUCUAUAUGAAGAGCUUUAAGAUAAGCAUGACAUAAUCAUAAAAUUACUGCAAUCUUGGAGAAUUUUAAUUUCUUCUUUCAAACGUCUUGAUAAUGGAAUACGUAAACAUGAACUCAAUUAAGCAUGAUUUAAUCUAUAUAGACGAAAUUAAUUAAUUUCAAAUCUGUGGAAUCCUUCUUGCUUUUUAGCUACUUUUUAAAUAUACGGAAUGAUACUUUAUUUGAUCAACUCAAAAACCAUUCCUUAGUUUCAGUUUCUUGUGUUUAUACAGAGAUUCUGAAUGUACUAUAAAGAGCUUUGGAACUUCACCAAAGUUUUACAGCUCAAUUAUCACAUAAGGAAAAAACAUUAACAUAUAUAAGGUGUGUGAAUUAUUUAAUAAUAUUUUUAUUUAUUUAUAAAAAAGAACAUUAAUAUAUAUUAGUUUCAUGGCCUAACUAUUAAAUCACAUAGGACGUGCUCAUGUUGGAAGUUUUGUGCUUUCUUGCCUUAACUAGGAACCUGCAAGCGGUUAUGUUUUUCCAACUUGCAUUACUGUUUUCACUACUCAUAAUUAGCUAUAUAUUUUGUGUCUAAGGUAUAAUUAUAUUCUAGGUAAUUAGAUGCUUUAUUCUAGAUAUUUUGUAGGUCAUUUUGAACCCUAUAUAAGAAUUCAAGAUCUAAAAUAGAAGACUGAAUAAGUUCAGUUUCUUCAAUCUUCAUCCACUGUUCUUUUUGUUUCAUUUGCUACUGCAAAUGGAUCAAACAAUUUAGUGAGAUUCCAAUUUUAGCAUACAAUAAGGAAGACAAUGUAGUUUGGUUAGGUACAACGUCGAGCACCCUUACUGCUAAAGAGGCAUAUUCUUUUAUUGCAGGAGAGAUUCAAGCUUCAUCUUGGGGUAAGUCUAUAUGGCAUGCUUCUAUUCAGUUGCGCAAGAGCAUCACUACCUGGAAAGUCCUCCGUAAUCAGAUUCUAUUUGAUGAGUUGUUACAACGCCGAGGGUUUCAACUAUGUUCCAAGUGUUCUCUUUGCCACAAUGCAGUUGAGUCAACUCGACACCUAUUCUGGAAAUGUCAUGUGGUCAUGGACAUUUGGUAAAGGUUGUUUGCCCUCUUGCAGAGAAGAUUUGAUCCGGGUAUGUCUUUAACUGAUUACUUGAACACCCCUCUUCCCCAGGGUUUUAACUCAUCAACAAAAUUGCUUUGGUUCAUUGUGAGAUGCAAUUUAUUAUGGUUCAUUUAGUAUGAGAGGAAUAGGCUAAGACACAAUGAGGAAUCUUUUUGCCCUAUUCGAUUUCAAUUUCAUAUCUAAAUGCAGCAAGAGAUUCUUCCAGGUUAGCAUUCAAUCAUGCUAGCCUGUCAGCCAGUAAUCACCGAAUUUUCAACAUGUUUAGUAUUUCCCCUUUGCGAGCUAGAGCUGCUAGCUUUAUUCCUGGUUCCUCAUCCAGAUUUCUUUCUGCGGAGGCCUAAUCUCAAGUUCUUUUGAUUGUUCUCUAUUAGUUUUCAUGUAUGUGUGUGAAUUAGUUUUCAUGCUUUCUCCCAAUUUUUUUUUUUUUUUGGUCGAAAGGCUUUCUCCCAACUUGGAUCACUCUUAAAUGUUCCGGUUGGUUUUUCGUUACUUUCUCAUUGUACCUUUUGACUGGCUUUGGCAUAGUCCUCUAGUUGCAUUGUAUCUUUUUUAUUUUGUUUUAAUAAAUUUUCGGGAAGAGACGUUGAGUUGGUCCAUUUUUCGCUUAUUUAAAAAAAAACAAAAGAAGUUAUGAUAUUGAUUAUAUUUUCGGAAAGGGACGUUGAGUACAUUAGUCCUUUUUUCGCUUACUUAAAAAAAACAGAAGAAGUUAUGAUAUUAAUUAUAUUUUCGAGAAGGGACGUUGAGUUAGUCCUUUUUUCGCUUACUUAAAAAAAAAACAGAAGAAGUUAUGAUAUUGAUUAUAUUUUGUUCAAAACACAAAGUAGAAGCACCAAGUAUAACAAUUUGGACAUGUAAGAACCACAUAGCUACAAAACUCCCACACAGUACAGAUAUUUGAAUUCAUGGAAUGGUUUCAAAUUAUAAACAGAGAAUAUCCGACAACUAAAGAGAACUAGGAAAAGGAGUGUUAUGCGAAAGAAAGAAAAAAAAAAUAUGAAUAUUGAAAUGCAAUAUUAGACUGGUAAAUAUGAUAACACAAACAAAGUCCUAACCUGGAUCUGCAUUAGAAGGUUAUCAACAGCAGCGCCACCAUCCACUCUAAGCAAGAACUCUCUUGUCUCAUUUUUAACCCCUCCCUUCUCUUCAGCAUCUUUAUGCAUUGAAUAUAGCACAUCUUUCACCUGGAAACACAUACUCUCAAGCACUGCUCAAGCAAGGUGCGCCUUGUUCGUAAAGCUCGUCAUACCAAUACAAAUUCCACGAGCAUCAUCACGCCACCAGGGAGCAAAUAAUCCGUUAAAGGCAGGCACAAAAUAAACCCCACCAGUAGACUCAACCUGUGACGCUAGUGCCUCAAUCUCAUUUGCAGUCCCAAUAAUCUCAAGAUUGUCUCUAAGCCACUGAACUGCAGCUCCAGCAAUAGCAAUGGAUCCUUCUAGAGCAUAAUUUACCGGAGCUUUAGGUCCAAGUUUGAAUGCCAAAGUGCUAAGAAGCCCAUGCUUCGACACAGUUAUCUCUUCACCAGUGUUGAGAAGAAUAAAAGCACCAGUUCCGUAAGUGCUUUUGG